GACUGAGACACGGCCCAGACUCCUACGGGAGGCAGCAGUGGGGAAUUGUUCGCAAUGGGCGCAAGCCUGACGACGCAACGCCGCGUGGAGGAUGAAGAUCUUCGGGUCGUAAACUCCUUUCGAUCGAGACGAACGGCUUCCGGGUGAACAAUCCGGGAGAGUGA
rnacentral:rRNA from 1 species